GAGAGACCUUUGGGUCAGCAGCAGACUUUCGAUAGGCUGCUACUGACCAUUUUGGAGGAACGCUACAGGACUAUACUUUUGGGUUGCUGCGGUAAAAUCUUGGGCGCGUGACAGUCCUAAAGUUGUUCAGCUGCAAACCAAAGGCGGCAUUCCCACUACUUUGGUGAGCUGCUCACCAACAUUUGGGACUGUCACGCGCCCAAGAUUUUACCCCAGCGCACCAAAACCAUAGUGGAGCUGCUGUCACAUACGUUGUUCCGCUACAGUCCCAAAGGUCUCUCAGUGUAUUAAUCAAUAUUAAU